AACUCCAUACCACUCAAAAUCAAUCCUCAACCAUGAUAAAAAUACAAAGAAUGACUCCAUCUCAUGAUCUCAAUAAUGGUUGCAAGUCCUGACAUUCAAAGCUGCCAACAUUUAAACAAACAAACCAUAUAUGUGAGAGAGAGAGAGAGAGAGAGAGAGAGAGAGAGAGAGAGAGAGAGAGAGAGAGGCAUGGAAUCAUCAGCAGAAUAUUUAAAUUAUUAUUCAAUAAAACUCAUUUAAACAAGAAACAAAACAAAACUCUGAAGAUGUAAAUUACAUUGAUUCUUUACACCCUACCCAGCUCCCAACAAGCAAACAAUUGUUACACAUUCUAAACAGAAGAUAGAGAAGCCAAUCUGUGUCUUCCAAUUGCAUACCUCAAGUUGUUCGUGAAGCCUGCACCCACAAUGCUUCAGUGAU
rnacentral:lncRNA from 1 species